rnacentral:rRNA from 1 species
UACGUAGGGGGCUAGCGUUGUCCGGAAUCAUUGGGCGUAAAGCGCGUGUAGGCGGUUCGGUAAGUCCGCUGUGAAAGUCGGGGGCUCAACCCUCGGAUGCCGGUGGAUACUGUCGGGCUAGAGUGCGGAAGAGGCGAGUGGAAUUCCUGGUGUAGCGGUGAAAUGCGCAGAUAUCAGGAGGAACACCAAUUGCGAAGGCAGCUCGCUGGGACGUGACUGACGCUGAGACGCGAAAGCGUGGGGAGCAAACAGG